rnacentral:rRNA from 1 species
UACAGAGGUCCCAAGCGUUGUUCGGAUUCACUGGGCGUAAAGGGUGCGUAGGCGGCCGGGUAAGUCUGAUGUGAAAUCUCACAGCUUAACUGUGAAACUGCAUUGGAUACUAUCCGGCUCGAGGAAUGGAGGGGAGACUGGAAUACUUGGUGUAGCAGUGAAAUGCGUAGAUAUCGGGAGGAACACCUGUGGCGAAAGCGGCUCACUGGACCACAACUGACGCUGAGGCGCGAAAGCCAGGGGAGCAAACGGG